UUAUGUCUAUUUUGACGUAAAUUGAUAAAAUUUCUAUUGGCAUUCCGAGACAUUAUGCGAAACCUAAAAUUACAUUAUAAAUAACCCAAUUUUAAGCUUAAUCUGAUGCACAUAACUGGAGCAUCAAGUUUGAUGGAAUAUUACAUCAAAUGAAACCCAAUUUCACGCGCUUUGGACACUACACGCUUGUCAGAGUGGAGAAACGUCAAAACGAAAAACAUGUGUGCCGCCGCAAAGAAUAUUUUUGCAGUAGAAUUUUUCGGUAAAUUUUAUCAAUUCUGUGCCUCUUCUGGCCAGAAUCUAAAAAAAAAUGAAAGAGUUCUCCGUUUCGUUCUUUUUAGGUUACGGCAAGGUUGCGGAAAUCGUAAGACUCAAACAAAAACUUUUCCGCCAAGCUGCUGUUCCGAUGGUCCCGGAGUGGAUCAAAAUUUUGGUGCGGCAAUCGUAAGUUCCCAUCAGCUGUGUCACCUUCGGCGGGGUGGCCGCCUUUCACCAGCCAAAGUUCAAAUCCAGCUCGCGGGAACGGCUCCGGGCCGGCGGAGAUUCCGGCGUGCCCAGCGAAGAUGAUGACGACGACGAUGAUCCGUGCAUUUCGCGGAGUUCACCCGAAUGCCACGGGACGGAGUGUGACCACGGUGCGGAAGGUGGCCACGAUCACUUUCACCUGCGAGGCGGGAGUAGUAGUUCGGGGGAUUUUCGGAGUAAAUCAAGCCUGAGGAAUGACCGGUACAAGUGCUUUGGGCUGCUCGAGUCGAACAUCCUGAACAGUUUCCAGCUGCAGAAUUUCAGGCGGAAGAAUGGCAGCGAGUACGAUUCGGCCAA